rnacentral:rRNA from 1 species
UACGAAGGGGGCUAGCGUUGUUCGGAUUUACUGGGCGUAAAGCGCGUGUAGGCGGGUCGUUAAGUUGGGGGUGAAAUCCCGAGGCUCAACCUCGGAACUGCCUUCAAAACUGGCGACCUGGAGCAAAGAAGAGGCGAGUGGAAUUGCGAGUGUAGAGGUGAAAUUCGUAGAUAUUCGCAGGAACACCAGUGGCGAAGGCGGCGCACUGGACCACAACUGACGCUGAGGCGCGAAAGCUAGGGGAGCAAACAGG